GACGAACGCUGGCGGCGUGGAUUAGGCAUGCAAGUCGAGCGAGAACCGUAGCAAUACGGGGACAGCGGCGAAAGGGACAGUAAUGUGUAGGUACCUACCCCCGGGUUCGGGGUAGCUGCGGGAAACUGCAGGUAAUACCGAAUAAUGUCUCCGGACCAAAGGUGUGAUUCCACCUGGGGAGAGGCCUGCAUCCUAUUAGCUUGUUGGUGGGGUAACGGCCUACCAAGGCGACGAUGGGUAGCGGGUGUGAGAGCAUGACCCGCGUCAUUGGGACUGAGACACUGACCAGACACCUACGGGUGGCUGCAGUCGAGAAUCUUCGGCAAUGGGCGCAAGCCUGACCGAGCGACGCCGCGUGCGGGAUGAAGGCCUUCGGGUUGUAAACCGCUGUCGUAGAGGAGGAAAUGCAGGGGGGUUCUCCCCUUUGCUUGACCUAUUCUAGGAGGAAGUACGGGCUAAGUUCGUGCCAGCAGCCGCAGUAA
rnacentral:rRNA from 1 species